UCACCCCUGCUCGGUGCGUGAUGGACCUUAUUUAAACCCACAUCUCUGAAACGGGACGCCCCCUCAUGGCGCGGAUCGCAGGCCUCCCGGCCCACCGGGCCGGAAGUUGGAAGCGGAGAAACGUCAUGGAGGCAACCCACCUGCCAUUCGUGCAGGUUUUAAAUGGGUCCACACGGCCAGAGCGGGGAUACU
rnacentral:other from 18 species